rnacentral:rRNA from 1 species
GGCAACGGCCAUACCACGUUGAAAACUCCGGUUCUCGUCUGAUCACCGAAGUUAAGCAACUUUGGGUUUGGUUAGUACUUGGAUGGGUGACCGCCUGGGAAUACCAAAUGCUGUUGUCU